UACGGAGGGGACUAGCGUUGUUCGGAAUUACUGGGCGUAAAGGGCGCGUAGGUGGCGCGACAAGUCAGUGGUGAAAGUUCGACGCUCAACGUCGAAUCGGCCACUGAUACUGUUGGGCUUGAGCACUGUAGAGGCUAAUGGAAUUCCUGGUGUAGCGGUGGAAUGCGCAGAUAUCAGGAGGAACACCGGUGGCGAAGGCGGGUCUCUGGGCAUUAACUGACGCUGAGGAGCGAAAGCAUGGGGAGCGAACAGG
rnacentral:rRNA from 1 species